rnacentral:rRNA from 1 species
GUGCCAGCCGCCGCGGUAAUACGUAGGUCCCGAGCGUUGUCCGGAUUUAUUGGGCGUAAAGCGAGCGCAGGCGGUUAGAUAAGUCUGAAGUUAAAGGCUGUGGCUUAACCAUAGUGCGCUUUGGAAACUGUUUAACUUGAGUGCAAGAGGGGAGAGUGGAAUUCCAUGUGUAGCGGUGAAAUGCGUAGAUAUAUGGAGGAACACCGGUGGCGAAAGCGGCUCUCUGGCUUGUAACUGACGCUGAGGCUCGAAAGCGUGGGGAGCAAACAG